rnacentral:rRNA from 1 species
AGUCAAUAGAUACCCAGGUAGUCCACGCCCUAAACGAUGUCGACUGGUUGUUGGGGGUUUGACACUCUCAGUAAACGAAAGCUAAACGCGUGAAGUCGACCGCCUGGGGAGUACGGCCGCAAGGUUAAAACUCAAAGGAAUUGACGGGGACCCGCACAAGCGGUGGAUUAUGUGGAUUAAUUCGAUGCAACGCGAAAAACCCUUACCUACCCUUGACAUGUCCCGAAUCCCGGUGAGAGCCGGGGGUGCCCGAAAGGGAACGGGAACACAGGUGCUGCAUGGCUGUCGUCAGCUCGUGUCGUGAGAUGUUGGG